rnacentral:rRNA from 1 species
ACGGGAGGCAGCAGUGGGGAAUAUUGCACAAUGGGCGCAAGCCUGAUGCAGCGACGCCGCGUGAGCGAUGAAGUAUUUCGGUAUGUAAAGCUCUAUCAGCAGGGAAGAAAAUGACGGUACCUGACUAAGAAGCCCCGGCUAACUACGUGCCAGCAGCCGCGGUAAUACGUAGGGGGCAAGCGUUAUCCGGAUUUACUGGGUGUAAAGGGAGCGUAGACGGCGAUGCAAGUCUGAAGUGAAAGCCCGGGGCUCACCCCCGGGACUGCUUUGGAAACUGUGUUGCUAGAGUGCAGGAGGGGUAAGCGGAAUUCCUAGUGUAGCGGUGAAAUGCGUAGAUAUUAGGAGGAACACCGGUGGCGAAGGCGGCUUACUGGACUGUAACUGACGUUGAGGCUCGAAAGCGUGGGGAGCAAACAGGAUUAGAUACCCUGGUA